rnacentral:tRNA from 1 species
CAUUAGAUGACUGAAAGCAAGUAAUGGUCUCUUAAACCACUCUAUAGUAAAUUAGCGCCUACUUCUAAUGG